AUGAUCAGUGUAUGGUAUUUACUCAAAUCUGCAUGCGGAGGCACAAAUUUGCUAGAGGUACAUUGGCAAGACAAGAAACUGACCUAUCUCUGCCUAUCCAUCAUGGGGUUGGUAGUUGGAUGGAGCUCACAGCACCAUGCUUCACUUCACAUUGAUGUGACACACUCUGGGUGGCACACUUCGCAUUCACCAGCAACUUUUUUCGCUGCUGCAACAUGGCUUGCAGCCGUAUACUUACGGUUGCUGGCAGCGAUGAACCCACCAGUGCUCCUGCUGAGGCUGUCCUCGAGCUGCACAAAUGUGAUGUCAUAG
rnacentral:rRNA from 1 species